CAUUGGCGGAUGGCUCCUGGACUCCGGUUCCGGCUCCGUCAAGCAUCCUCGUCCAACCACCGCGCCCCCGCUACCGCCGGCGUCCCCAGUCGGCGGCGCCCCCAGCCGCCGUCGCCCCCGCUCCAGCCCGAUCCCCUCCCCUUCUCCUAGCCCCCACUGCCGCUGCCGCCGCGCCCCGUGUUCCUGAUGAUGCUCCAUGAAUUUCUACCAGGCUAGAUUCGUCGAAAUUUUCUCCGGAGAGGUAGAAAAGCGGCAAAUGGAGGACACUACUUCUACGAGACCUUGGGUUGCCUUCCCAGUUCCAGCACACCUUUCAAUUCAGCUUCUGAGUCAGUUUAAAAUCCAUCUGAACAUACUGGGUUCAGGCUGUUUUCAUUGUUUUCAGUAGUUUGGUUCAGACUGCAUGUCUGUGUACAUCUUUGUUGGUGAUGCUGCCCUGAUCAGAUCAUCAUUUUUGUAUCUGGUGCUUCCGAUGAUAGAACUGAAGUGCACCUGGAAGUGUAUAUUUACUGAUAUGAGUAACAAGAAUAUUUAUUGUUGUUGUUUCUA